rnacentral:lncRNA from 1 species
GCUUUCCAGAACUUUCUAGGGAUCUCCUAAGAGGGCAAGCGGGUGGUACUUUCUGUAUUUUAAUAUUGUGUUAGAAUCUGGGACAUCUGAUUGCUGAAAUGAGAUGUUAGUUGGUACAGGCAGGGGUUUCCAGGACCGGCACGCCCUUGCGGAGUGCCUGCUGGAGGGAGCCGGUGUGUCCAGGACGCCCUUGCGGAGUGUCUGCUGGAGGGAGCCGGUGUGUCAGUGAGAUGGCUAUGCCCCUGGGCUGCUGCGUCCCAGGUUUCCUCAGUCUCUAACCCUUUGUUCUCACAGGGGAUGGACUCUUCCUUCUUUUCCCAACUCCACCAAGAGGGACCGUCCCAGGACGUCCUUCCCUGGGCAUCCGGCCCUACAGCUGCCUGAGGUCUCCAUCACCGUUGGCGCCAUCAGUCUGCUGUGCAGCCAGCUGUUGGUUUGGAGAGCCUGAAGAACUGCAGUUCACGUCUCAUCUAAAGGAGCUGAAAUGAUAUUGCAGCUUUCUCUUUUGGUUGCGUGCGGUGAGAAUCUGGGAGCUGAACCUGUUAUCUGCAUGGUCUUCAGAAAUCAGGCAAACUCGGAAAAUGCCAACGCCAAAAAUGCUGAUGGGUGACAAAGUGUCACAGGUGUGAUGCAUUACAAAUCUCAGGACUUUUGUUCACUGGAUUUGAAAGGUCAAGCUUCACAGGAAAAUGAUGAAGUCCCAAAAGACCAGAAAUAUAUUUCAGAAGAUGCCAGUUACUGCUUUAAAAUGUCAAACCAACAUUUCAGAAAUAACUUUCAAUGAUUAUUUCCUGCCAAGAAGGUGAACGCUGGAGACCUUAAUGGUGGAAGAUGGAGGGCGUCUUUCCUUCUGUUAAGCUGACAACUUGGCUUCCAUCUUGUGAGGACCUCACCCUACCUGGUGGCAGAGGACGUCUGACGCCCUCAAUCAUUGCCAUUACACUUCCCAGCCUGGUGGUCAGUCUCCUGGGGUCUGUGUGUUAACAAACCAUCGACUGGACAAUCGCAGUUUUCCUUAUGAAGGCUUACUUUAAAAAGGCUCUGGAUUUUCAGAAGUGAAGUCGCUUUCAUCCCCGAUUCAGACCCAUCCUCGUGGAGGAAAAAUCCUACCAGAAGAAGGGCUGACCAUAGGAACUUGCCAUUUCCUUGACCCCAUCAUAUCUGAGGAAAAAACAACAGAAAAGCCGUUGCCCGAGCCACGUGUUGAGGAUGACGGCAUCGCGUUCUUUCUGCCCAGGGUCGAAACCCACGUGUACCCCCAACGUCCUGAUUGACGACUUUGCCUGCAGCUUCUGCUUUCCUGAAAUUCGCUGCUGCCUUUAGAACCCUUGUCUGCAGCCAGUGGGGGGGAGUUCAGGACUUAGGCGGAGCUGCCCCACCCUCCUGCUUGGCACCUUGCAAAUACAUGCCCUCCCUUCCAUUGCUGCAGACCUCAGAGUGGGCGUCCGGUCUCCUGUGUGGGAUGAGAAUACACGCCCUCCUUUCAAUCGCUGCAGACCUCAGAGUGGACGUCCGGUCUCCUGUGCGGGAUGAGAAUACACACCUUCCCUUCCACCGCUGCAGACCUCAGAGUGGACGUCCGGUCUCCUGUGUGGGAUAAUACACGCCCUCCUUUCAAUCGCUGCGGACCUCAGAGUGGGCGUCCGGUCUCCUGUGCGGGACAAGAAUACACUCCUUCCCUUCCAUCGCUGCAGACCUCAGAGUGGACGUCCGGUCUCCUGUGGGGGAUGAGAUACACUCCUUCCCUUCCACUGCUG